ACACACGGCCAUGCCACCCUGAACACGCCCGAUCUCGUCUGAUCUCGGAAGCUAAGCAGGGUCGGGCCUGGUUAGUACUUGGAUGGGAGACCUCCUGGGAAUACUAGGUGCUGUAGGCU
rnacentral:rRNA from 1 species